rnacentral:rRNA from 1 species
AGUGAACGCUGGCGGUAGGCCUAACACAUGCAAGUCGAACGGCAGCAGAGUAAGAGCUUGCUCUUACGGGUGGCGAGUGGCGGACGGGUGAGGAAUACAUCGGAAUCUACUUUUUCGUGGGGGAUAACGUAGGGAAACUUACGCUAAUACCGCAUACGACCUACGGGUGAAAGCAGGGGAUCUUCGGACCUUGCGCGAUUGAAUGAGCCGAUGUCGGAUUAGCUAGUUGGCGGGGUAAAGGCCCACCAAGGCGACGAUCCGUAGCUGAUCUGAGAGGAUGAUCAGCCACACUGGAACUGAGACACGGUCCAGACUCCUACGGGAGGCAGCAGUGGGGAAUAUUGGACAAUGGGCGCAAGCCUGAUCCAGCCAUACCGCGUGGGUGAAGAAGGCCUUCGGGUUGUAAAGCCCUUUUGUUGGGAAAGAAAAGCAGCAGGUUAAUACCCCGCUGUUCUGACGGUACCCAAAGAAUAAGCACCGGCUAACUUCGUG